rnacentral:tRNA from 1 species
CAUUAGAUGACUGAAAGAAAGUAAAGGUCUCUUAAACCUCCCUAUAGUAAUUAUCGCCUACUUCUAAUGG